GUGCUGGCACUACAGGAUUGGCUCGGGAAAAGGGUUGUGUUUCGUAAGAGUGAGAAAAAUCAUUCAUUUUUGCGAGCAACUGAAUAAAAAAAACACGAGACGCAAUAAGAAAGGGGAUACAAGAGGCGAUAAGAGAGCGUCUUUGUUGAAGGUUGUGAAAUGGAGGAAGAACUGCGAGAUAUGAAGGCACGCAAAGCACACUACGACAUGCUCCAUUUCGUUGCAGAUGCGCAACAAGGGAUUCCCAAAUUGUGCCCCUGUGGAUAAAUCACGAAGGAAUCCGUAGAUGAAGAGGAUACAUAUGACUACCUCCCAGGGAAAAGAUACUUCAUCUGCAAAGACUUCGAGGUUUGAAGUGUUAUGUCUCUUGCUGUUUGAUCAAUUGUUGUUUGAAAUAUAUUUUUUUUGGAUCCAUUGCUGUUUGACAAAGUUUAUUCUUCUUUGGCAGAAUGACGGGAUGCAUUUUAGGCAGCCAUGGGUUAUGGGUGUGCAACAAGAGGUGGAGAGGCUCAAAAUAAGGGUUCACGAGCAUGAGAAGCUUCUCAGAGAAUGCGACGAACUAAAGGCCCAGGUGAGGAUGUUGCUUAGGCGUGUGUCUGACCUUGAGAGAGUCCUCUGAGGAAGCAUCGACUGUAUGCAUUGGGAGUGGAAAAAUUGCCCAACCGCUUGGAAAGGACAAUAUACACGGGGAUCAGGAAAGCCGACCAUUGUCUUGGAGGCUGUAGCUUCACAAGAUCUUUGGAUAUGGCACGCUUUUUUUGGUCCCCCAGGUACUUUAAACGAUAUUAACGUCCUCGAUCAGUCUCCUGUUUUUGAUGACAUUUUACAAGGUCGAGCUCCAAGGGUACAGUACGUGG